UGAAGAAUGACUGAGCGUUUGAAUCUGGUAAUUGAUGGUAGGCCUACUUUCUGAAGUUGUCACUCAGUUAUUGAAAAAAAAAACACAUUAAAUUUAGUUUUCUGAAAAUCAUCAAUCUUUGAUGUGGUCCGUAAAUGAAAUUAAGUGACAUCAACCGUUCAAAUAAGAUUGAUCAAGCUUUGUAGGCCCAAGUUGUGCUGUGGGACCAGGUCUGCCAACAAUCACCCGGAGUCAUGAUGUACGCUGGGAAAUACAGAAAGUGCCUGAGUCACUCUUGAGAUCCUCUACAGCUUAUUCUCAUGGGACCCUCUCAGGGUGUCACCUGAUUUGGUGAACUUACACUUGCGCAACAUUUACACUUCCUGGAAUAUGUACGGUAGUCAACGGUUAAGAUGGUAAAACUCACUGGUGUAGCUUCAAUGUUGACCGAGGCUGGAUAAGCACUCACUCGUUGGUAAUGUGAUGGAGUUUAUAUCAGGAUUGCUGAUAAGAAUAUUUAGCUGAUAUCCACCAUCUCUUAAGUAAGCAAGAUCAAUAUAUAAAAGUAAGUCAGAUCAAUGUAUAAUGUAGUUCAAGUACAAGUAUUGCAGCACAGAUGUUGGCCUUUUGUGGGAGGCUUUAAAUAUUUCAUCCUUUUUAUGACUGAUAGAAGGGAAUUUGUAUUAUUAUUUUUCUUUAUAUAUUCAAUUCUUUUUGUGAUACCAAAUUCAAUAAAAUAGUCAUUACAAGGUUUCGAUAAGUAGUUAGAGCCAGCACAGACACUCAGUCCAUAAAUUGCUGGUUCAUUCAUAUGUCAUGUUAGCA